GCCCUUGUACCCAAUACUCGACUCCAAGAAUCUUUCAGGUUUGAAAGACAAAGCAUCCUCCCAACUCUCUUCGUCUCUCCCAAUCGCCCAAGCAUUGACUAAAACUUGUGUAUCUUUUGGAAUGUCAUAACCCAUGAAGGUCGUAUCUUGGACCGCUUUUCUUGGUACCAUGAGUGGAACUGAAGCAUGUAAGCGUAGUGAUUCUUCCACGGUUGCUUGCAAGUAAGGUAGAUUAGUAAUGUCACUCUCUUCCAGUUCCUUGUUUGCUCCCACAACUCUGCCAAGCUCCGCUUUGAUCUUCUUCAUUGAUUCAGGAUUCCUUAAGAGCUCACACAUCGCCCACUCAAUUGUGGCGCUUGUUGUUUCUGUUCCUGCCAUAAACAUUUCCUGAAACAAUAACAUAAUCUCAACUCAAGACACAAAUUCAUUUUCCCUUUAACUUGCCAUACACAUUUCUACUCGGACUUACCAUUAGAAAGAUCGUUAUUUGGUGGUCUGAUAGUUUAGCUGGUUCAUCCUUUCCAUUACCCUCAUAAUCCAGCACCACGUCCAAGAAGUCCUUGUGCUCUGUUGCCCUUCCUUCCCUGUGUUGCUGUUGUUUCACACGCUCCCUCAUAAACCCUGAAAUAAUUUUCAUUGCUUUUUUUAGCUCUCGAUCUGUUCUCCUCCUUAAUCCUUGAAGGUCAAGCCAUCUAAGCCAGGGAAACAAAUCGGAGAUAUUAGGACUUGUCAAACAUACUGAGAAUCCUGACAAGGCCGAGUAAAAUUCAGAGGCCAUCUCAGAAUUCGGAUGCAUCAAGUCUUUAGACAGUGUCAGAUUUCCAAUCAUGUUAAAUAUUGCCGGGAAUAGAAAACUUUUUACUUCAAUUUCACCAGUUGCACUUUCUACUAAUUCCUUUUCUAUCCACGACAACAUCUUAUUGACACAUCUUUGCCUGACUAAAACUGUUUCAUUGAUUCUCUUAUUACUGAAGAGCUCAACUGUGCAGAUCCGCCUCAAGGUGCGCCAGUAGGGGCUACAUUUGCCUAAUACCAUAGAGCUCUUGUAGUAGUCAUUUGCCCUCAUGACAUCAUUAUUAAACCGGUCAAUAAAGGAGAGAUCAUGGUUCUUGAACAACUCUUCGGCUGCACCAGCAGAAAGAAUCACCAUGGUCUUGACAGCUCCAAGAUCUAACCACACAACAGGACCAUACUUUUCUUUCAGUGCAGCUAGACUUCUGUGUGGUAAAGCUCCAAGAUCAAAUAUAUUUCCAAUGACUGGCCAGCCUCGAGGCCCUGGAGGAAGCUUGGAACGUCUGUAACUAUUCUUUCGUCUCAAGUGCCAUAUCAGUGGCAUCAAAGUGAACAAAAUGGACCAAAUAACAUAGUUCCACUUCAACUCCAUGUCCAGAGACUACAGACUCUGUACUGAGACUUGAGUUUCGACUUAUACUUAAUCUUAUAAAAAAAAUUCUGCGGCGAUCUCAGUUUGCGGAUCCACCAAGUCACUAAAAUUCAAACAUAUUAAUAGAGGGGUGCUCAAACUAGUACUCCCAGUAUUAUUGAACCUUGUUUUCAGUCCAUACAAAGAUAUCAUCCACACAUUUUUGGCAUAUCAAUAUAUCAUCCAGCUGAUAUUUAUUUUUUACAUUGAAGACCUCAAUAAUACAUCUGCAUUAAACGUGAAUGUCGAAAUCAUCUUUAUAACAAAGGCACAGCAUGUCAAAGAAGUAAGAUCACGGAUCUGGAAUAAGUCUUUGGGCCUUUGGCAGCAUGCACACGGUACUGUAUGGGCACAGUGUUCAUCAAACCGCACAAAUCGUAUAAUCGCUCCGCGGGCUGUUAGCGAACAAGCUCGAGCUCGGUUCGAUAAAAGCUCGGUUCGGCUCGUUUUGUUAAGAAUUUGAACUCGAGCUCGAACACAAUGUGUUCGUUAAGAAAACGAGCUCGAGCCGAGCUUUUAGUAUGUUCAGCUCGAGCUCGGCUCGAACUCGUUCGGCUCGUUAAAACUCGAAAAAAUGCAAUAUUUUCGGGAUAUAUUUAUAAGAUAUACAUGUUAUUGAACUCAUAAUUCAACAUAUAAUACAUUUAUAGAUUUUAGUGAUGUAACAAAAGUUUCGGAAUUUUUUUUUAUUUGGUUUACUAUUUUAUCAGUUAAGCAUCAGUUUGACAUGUACACUAACUAGUGUAGUCUUGAAUUGAUGUUUUGAUUUUUUUAAAAAUAUUUUUCAUUGAUCCGACCUCGUUUGGCUCGGCUCGUGAACAAGCUCCUGUUCGACUCGUUAGUCAACGAGCUCGAGCUCGAACAUAAUUUUUGUUCGAUAAAAAACUCGGCUCGGCACGGCUCGACUCGUUAGAAAAAAAAAAUUAAAGCUCGGUUCGGCUCUGUUCGUGAAGCCCUACGGAGCACACUCCAAAAGUGGUUUUUAGCUUUUGUGACUGUGGGGUGAAAUUUUGAAAAAUUACACCUUGCGUUGCGAGUUGCAGUUUAACAUUAUACACGUGGUUCAAACCGUAACAUACAGUAAUAUAUAACAACUCAGUUAAACCAGAAACCAGUGAUCGGAUCACUUACAUCUAGUGAUUAUUCAGAGUCUUUCUUCAAUCACUGGCAUCAUCUCUGAUUACCACCAUUAAUUGUGAUGAUGAUCAUGCAUCCAUUCGUUUGGGAACUCCUCUUAAGGGCACUAGUUUUCUUGCUGAGACCCCCAUUGCUUCUCUCAUGUCCAUUUUAAUCCCACCACUGACACUAUCACAAAGCUUCCAGUCGAAAUGAUGAAGCAACGAGCCUAAAAUGAGAGGAAGAACACGAUGAGCCAAAGGAAGACCAGGGCAAAUUCUUCUCCCAGCACCAAAUGGUAUAAACUUAAAACUCUGUCCCUUGUACCCAAUACUCGAUUCCAAGAAUCUUUCAGGUUUAAAAGACAAAGCAUCCUCCCAACUCUCUUCGUCUCUCCCAAUCGCCCAAGCAUUGACAAAAACUUGUGUAUUUUUUGGAAUGUUAUAGCCCAUGAAGGUCGUAUCUUGGACCGCCUUUCUUGGUAGCAGAAGUGGAAUUGAAGCAUGUAAGCGUAGUGAUUCUUCCACGCUUGCUUGCAAGUAAGGCAGAUUAUUAAUGUCACUCUCUUCCAGUUCCUUGUUUGCUCCCACAACUCUACCAAGCUCCGCUUUGAUCUUCUUCAGUGAUUCAGGAUUCCUUAAGAGCUCGCACAUCGCCCACUCAAUUGUGGCGCUUAUUGUGUCUGUUGCCGCAACAAAUAUAUCCUGAAACAAUUAUGUGUAAAUACAAUACCAUCAAAAAUUUAUUAUUAUUCUACAUUUCUCCUUAUAACUUACCAAUAAAAAGAUAGUGAUUUGGUGGUGUGAUAGUAUUUCUGGUUCAUCCUUCGCGGUACCCUCAAAAUCUAGCACCACGUCCAAGAAGUCCUUGUGAUCUGUGGCCUUUCCUUCCCUGUGUUGCCUCUGUUUAACCCGAUCAUCCACGAAUCCUGAAAUAAUUUUAAUUGCUUUGCCUAGAUCCCUGUCGGUUCUCGCCCUCAAUCCUUGCAGGUCAAGCCAUCCAAGCCAAGGAAACAAAUCAGAGAUAUUAGGACUGGUGACACACUCUGAGAAUCCUGACAAGGCGGUGUAGAAUUCAGAUGCCAUCUCAGAUUUCGGACUCAUCAAGUCACGAGAUAGUGUCAGAUUUCCAAUCAUGUUAAAUAUUGCUGGGAACACAAACUCUAUCACUUCAAUUUCACCACUUGCACUUUCUUCUACUUCCUUUUCUAUCCACUUCAACAUCUCAUCCACACAUUUUUUCUUGACCAAAACUGUUUCGUUGCUUCUCUUAUUGCUAAAGACCUCCUUAUUACAUAUCCGCCUCAUGGUGCGCCAGUAGGGGCUAUAUGCGCCCAAAGCUAUGGAGCUCUUGUAGUAGUCGUGUGACCUGGUUAUAUCAUUAUUGAACCUGUCAACGAAGGAGAGAUCAUGGUUCUUGAAAAACUCUUCAGCUGCACUGGCAGAAAGAAUCACCAUGGUCUUGACAGGUCCAAGAUUUAGCCACACAACAGGACCAUAUUUUUGUUUCAGCGCAGCUAGACUUCUGUGUGGUGAAGCUCCAAGAUCAAAUAUAUUGCCAAUGACUGGCCAGCCUCGAGGCCCCGGAGGAAGCUUGGAUCGUCUGUAACUAUUCUUCCUCCUCAAAUGCCAAGCAAGCGGCAUCAGAGUGAUCAAAAUGGACCAAAGAACAUAGUUCCACAUCCACUCCAUGCUCAGAUUACAGAUUUGCUACCAAAUGAGAGUUGACCUGUAUGCCAGGAAAGCCAUAUUACGUCAAAGUCAAAAAUGGCUUAAAGUCCGGGACUUUAAGUCCUGCCAAACAGGCUCUAAACAUACACAUAUCACAUUUCAUAACAAAUGAAAAAAUGUACCUUCUUUAAGUGUCUGGAGAGUGCUGCACUGCUGUUUGUUCACAGAUAUAAUUAAGAUCAGCACAGAUGAGAAUUAAUUUAUAUUUGAAAAUUCUCAAACAAUAUCAUACAAUAAGACAAAUAUAACCAAAGAGUCAAAACUUUAGACUAAUGUUCACCUGCUCCACAUAAUUAAGCACACACUACUUGAUUUAUUAAUUCUAAGCACACCACUUAUUUUAGAAAUGGAAGGCCAGGCCAGGGCAAUUUAAAUGGACAGUAGUCAAGGCCCAAAACUUAAAGAGGCCCAAUUUUUAUAUAUCUUAGUAUCUUAUAAUAUUUUCUGCUAAACAUUUAUUUUGCAAUCUUAAUAGUAAAAAAAUAAUUUAAGAAAAAAUUCUUUAUUAUUGUUGCAUUUCACACUUUACAAAUCACAAUUUUAAUAUCAUCUACUUUCUUCACUUUUUCUAAUAAAAGAUGCAAGAUCAAGGACAUUUUUAAAAUUUUCUGCAUCCUCAUUUUCAGGAUACCUAACAUUUUUCGUAAGUAAAUGAUUGAAAAUAAAUUGAUGUAAAAAUAAGAAAUAUUAUAUAAAUAUCACAAUUAUAACUUAAGAAAUAAUAUAAUAUUAUUAAUUUAGGUAAAUAAUAGUGAGAAACAAUAAGAAAAUGAGAAAUAAGUUGGAGAGAGGGUUAGUGGACAUGAGAAUUAAAAUGAGAAAGAAUUAAAUGAAGAUGAGUGAAUGUGUGUAUUACCAUACUAUGGGAGGUUAACAAAUUUUUUUUAUGUCAUUGGAUUUCUUUCUUUUAUUACCAUACUAUAAUAUUUGCUAGGUUUGUAUCCCAUUUAUAUAGUAAAAACUUAUAAAUAUUGAAUUAUAAUAAAUGGAUAUUAAUAUUAUAAUUAAAUGUAUUUAUAAUUUUGAAAUACGAUUAUGAGUUUACAAAUGAAAAAAAUAUAUAUAAUUAAAUAUUUUUAAUCAAAUAAUUUAUUAUAAUUCUUGUCUAGCACACAUUUAUAUACAAAUCUAUCUACUUAUCAUAUUGUAUUAAACUCAAAUAUUAAAAUUUGGUUGGUAAUAAAAUUGGUUAGUAAUUAUUAAAGUUAGUAAUAACAUAACGGUAUUGAAAUUUGAUUAUAUAAUAUGGAUGGAUCAUCAUCCCUGGAAAAUAUUAAACAAUAUUAUAAUACAAAAUUUAUUAAGACAAGGGUGAUUUUAUUGUCAAACAAGUACCCCAUCAGAGAGGUACUAAAUUUUCUUCACCAAUUGAUUGUACAGAUGAUCAUGCAGUCAUUUGUUUCGCAACUGCUCUUAAUGGCACUAGUUUUCUUGCUGAUACCCCCAUUGCUUCUCUCAUGUCCAUUCUAAUCUCACCACCAACACUUUCACAAAGCUUCCAGUCGAAAUGAUGAAGCAAUGAGCCUAAAAUGAGAGGAAGAACACGAUGAGCCAAAGGAAGACCAGGGCAAAUUCUUCUCCCAGCACCAAAUGGUAUAAACUUGAAACUCUGGCCGAUACUCGACUCCAAGAAUCUUUCACGUUUGAAAGACAAAGCAUCCUCCCAAUUCUCUUCGUCUCUCUCAAUACCCCAAGCAUUGACAAAAACUUGUGUAUUUUUAGGAAUGUUAUAGCCCAUGAAGGUUGUAUCUUGGACCGCCUUUCUUGGUAGCAUGAGUGGAACUGAAGCAUGUAAGCGUAGUGAUUCUUCCACAGUUGCUUGCAAGUAAGGUAGAUUAUUAAUGUCACUCUCUUCCAGUUCCUUGUUUGCUCCCACAACUCU
rnacentral:lncRNA from 1 species